UGGCGCCCAGCGUGGGGCACCUGGCACAGAGGAUCCAAUGAGGGAGCCGUCCAGGGACACGCACGUAAAAAGUGAAACUAACAGUUUUGUGACCAACGCUAUGCGGGAGCCUGCCGCGCUGCUUGAGUCAUAGUAAGUGUAUGGCAAUCCUUUUCCCUUUUUUCCGGCAUGGGUCAAGCAUUAAGUGAUCACAAACUUUUCGUGGGAAGCCCAACUAAGGGGUUAAAGACAAGAGGGAUUAAGGCUAAAGAAAAAGAUUUACUACAAUAUUUUCAAUUUAUUUAUAAGGUUUGCCCUU
rfam:Cavia porcellus supercont2_7 genomic scaffold, whole genome shotgun sequence.